UUAAAUCGUUCAAUUUAUUUACGAAUUGACGAAUUUACAUACCCGGUCGAUUUAUUAUGCAACAUAUUCGAUAAUUUCUGAAAACCAUCUCCUGUAUCUUAAAAAUUAGAAAAAUCGAAAAUUUGUACGAUCAGUUGGACAAUAGUGGUGUCGAGCUCAGUGAGCAGUUGCGAGUGAUAAUGAUGCUGCGCAGUUUGCCUCCAUCUUUCGCGAAUUUUGUUACUUCGUAAGAAAAUCGGCCCAAGGGCGAUUCAACGAUGGACUUAGUGCUGAUGGUACGAAGACAAAGUCGUGCGGUAUCGGUAAAGGAAACGUUAUCGGUGUGAAUGCGAAUGGCCAGCGCGUUGUGAUUACGUUGGAGCGGGUACUGUACGUCCCCAGUUUGGAGGGAGGACUGAUUUCGGCACGGAAAUUAGCUGAAAAAGAGUUCACGGUGGUGUUUAAUGUGAACGGUUGUGAAAUUCAAGAUCCUGGCAACAAGGUUGUAGCAGUCGGCGAGCUGAUUGAUUGCCAGUAUAAAUUGAAGAUACAUGGCACCGGCGGUUUGGUCAUCGUGACAUGAAUGCGAUGAAGUUCAUCACGUCAAAAAGAUUGGCCAGCGGAUUCAAAGUCAAGGACUGUGAUGAACAUAUAGUUUGUGAGUGCUGCAUUAAGGGUAAGUUAGCACGAAAACCUUUUUCUCCGUCGGGUGAACGCAGAUCGACACAGCCAUUGGACCUGGUGCACACAGACUUGUGCGGACCCAUGGAGAAUGCAACGCCGAGUGGAAACAAAUACUUUAUUACACUAAUCGACGACUACAGUCGGUUCUGUGCGGUGUUUCUGUUUACAUCGAAAAGCGAAAAGCGAGAAUACGUUAGAUGGACCGAGAACGUUUUCUGCCGUAAACCUAAGGUGAUUAGGUCUGAUGGAGGAGGCGAAUAUAUCGGUGAGUCUCUACAAGAAUUUUAUACAACCGAGGGCAUUGUUGCGCAAUACACCACAACAGAAUGGUGUCGCGGAGGGCAAGAAUCGCGCUUUGCAGGAAAUGGCCAACUGUAUGUUGUUGGAUGCAGAGCUACCCAAACGCUAUUGGGGUGAGGCCGUGAUUACGGCAAAUUAUGUUCAAAAUCGGUUGCCAUCAAGAGUGGUGUAUAAAACGCCUUAUGAGCUUUGGACCGUACUCUCCCGGAUUUGUCUGAGUUCAAAGUAAUUGGCUGCGUAGCUUAUGUGCACGUACCAGACCAAAAACGGAAGAAAUUCGACCCGAAAGCUAAGCAGCUAGUAUUUAUCGGCUACUCAAAUCAGCACAAAGGCUAUCGUUUUCUUGACCUCGCAACGAAUCGCAUCACUAUAAGCCGUGAUGCGCGCUUCCUGGAACUGGGGAAUGGAUCAGAACAGCUGGAGGGGGAGCCGGUUGUCUCGCAAGGUCCUGAAGAGCUAAGUGAGGAAAGAUUGAGUGAUUGCGAAGAAGUCGUUCUUUUGGACUGGGGUAUUAAAGAACGUGAAGAGCAAGUGCUUGAUGAUCAGUCUGAGUAUGACGACGCUAGCGAAAUUAAUGAAAGUGAUUUUCCGGGAUUUAAAUCGGAAUUUUUAGAAGAACAACCAGUGUUGACCCGAGCAGACCGGUACACCAGGGGAGUGCUGCCUGGGUGAUUCGAGCAUUAUGUAGUGGGGCAAGUGACAGUAGAUGAAAGCCCAAAGAAUAUGAAGAAGCAAUGUUAGUACCACGGUGCUCCCACAGAUUAUUAUUAUAAAACAGGCACCAAAGAAUCUAAGUACCCCAUUCGAUUCAUUAUGACGUCCAGAAUCUCUGGUCAAAAUUUCAAAAUCAUCAUACGGUACAUUUUUGAAUAUUGCCCUUUUGAAGGUCGUAAAGUACAAAAAAGUAAUAUAAAAACAACGAAAUACUUAUUGUAAAGCACGUAUUUCAACCACCAUUCUAUGAAAUAACUUCCAAAACAGUUUCUACAUAUUUCAAGGGUUAUAUUUCAAGACAUUAACAGUGUUAGAGUACUUGAACGGAACUAAGCACGUUAGGCUGAGUUACGGAUCGCAGGACGGGUGGAACCUGAUAGGAUUUUCAGAUUCGGAUUGGGCCGGCGACAGAUGUACUCGUCGUUCGACCACCGGUUUCAUAUUUUUUUAUGGCGAUAGUCCUGUAAGUUGGACAAGCAAGGGCCAGGAUUCGGUGUUGCGACGGCUAGGCGAACCGGAAAGUGUUCCGACAGUGCUGCACGAGGAUAAUAUGGGGUGUUUAAGUUUUGCCAAAACGGAGAGAUGCAGUGGUAGGGUAAAACAUAUAGAUACCAAACGACAUUUUAUCCGUGAGUUGUGCGACCGGAAGAUUAUACAUCUUGUGUAUAGUCCUAGUGAAGAAAUGGCCGCCGACGCUCUUACCAAGCCGGUCGGUCGGGCAAAGAUGAACAAGUUUUUGCUGAAGGAUUGAAGAAAUUAUUGAAACGGUUCUCAUCCAGGAGGAGUGUUGGGAAUGGAUGAGUACCUUGUCGUAUAUAUAGCCACCUUGACUAAAGAGAGAGAAAUAAACACAACAAGCUACACUAUUUUAUCACAUACAUAAGACAUACGUAACACUCAGGAAGAAAUCUUCCAAAAAAGUUGGUACAAAAUGAACUACUCGAAUGGUACCACACUAUGAAUAAAAUCACUGUUUGAGUUGUUUUUGAAGGCAGUGUACCUGCGCAGCCCUGCAUUUGUCUCGUUCCUACUCGAAAAAUGCUGCAUUGAUUUUGUGAAUAACUUUUUGACAGUUCCUUAUGAGAUUUUCUUUGGGGCUCGAUAAAGCCGAGAAAAAGUAAAUUCAUUUUGUUCAUUAUUUAUCGAGCAGUUUGACAGGAUGAGGUACGGAGUUCUAUGGGGCAACGUGUACCAGAAAAAAACGCCAGUGUUACGUAUGUCUUAUGUAUGUGGUUUUAUCCUUUCGAUCAGUUACACAAUAAAUCGGUUUCAUGUAAA